GAUGAACGCUGGCGGCGUGCCUAAUACAUGCAAGUCGAGCGAACGGACGAGAAGCUUGCUUCUCUGAUGUUAGCGGCGGACGGGUGAGUAACACGUGGAUAACCUACCUAUAAGACUGGGAUAACUUCGGGAAACCGGAGCUAAUACCGGAUAAUAUUAUGAACCGCAUGGUUCAAAAGUGAAAGACGGUCUUGCUGUCACUUAUAGAUGGAUCCGCGCUGCAUUAGCUAGUUGGUAAGGUAACGGCUUACCAAGGCAACGAUGCAUAGCCGACCUGAGAGGGUGAUCGGCCACACUGGAACUGAGACACGGUCCAGACUCCUACGGGAGGCAGCAGUAGGGAAUCUUCCGCAAUGGGCGAAAGCCUGACGGAGCAACGCCGCGUGAGUGAUGAAGGUCUUCGGAUCGUAAAACUCUGUUAUUAGGGAAGAACAUAUGUGUAAGUAGCUGUGCACAUCUUGACGGUACCUAAUCAGAAAGCCACGGCUAACUACGUG
rnacentral:rRNA from 1 species